CCGGCCUUUACUUUUUUUUUUGUCCUUCUCCUCCUCUUCCUUGUCAUCUUGUUCUGUUCUGUACCUCUUUACAAAUUCCUAGUUUUUCUUUUCUUUCUCCUCUUUCAUAUUCAUCUUUCCUUUUUUCCUCCUCUUCCUCCUCCUUCUAACCCCUUCACUUCGGCGACGUCAGCGUAUGGAAAGGGUUAGUCCUCUUCUAAACCUCUUAAUCCUCUUCUAAACCACUUAUGAGGGAAUGGAAGAGGGAUUUAGAGGAGGAUUGAGAGGUUUAGAAGACGAUUAAUCCUCUUCCGUGUCCUCUUGACCCGUUCCAUACUGUUACGCCGACGUCUGUGUCACGGAUGGAAAGUGUUAAUACUUAUCAUCUUGUUCUGUUCUGUACCUCUUCACGAAUUCCUAGUUUUUUUCCUUCUCUUUUGUCUUCAUUCUUUUUUUAUCCUCCUCCUCCUUGUUAUCUCGUUCCAUUCUUCUUUACCUUCGUUUUACUUUCCUGUUCUUCCUCUUCAUGAAUUCCUACUUUUUCUUUUCUUCCUCAUUUCUUUUUUCUCUUCCUCCUUCUGCUCCUCCUCCUCCACCCCUCCCCUUGUGGCUGGCUGGUGUAGCAUGGUGUAGCCUUAGUGGUGGUGGAGAGAGGCAGUGUUGUAGUGUAGAAACAUUUGCCGGAGUCACCCAGGAGUGGCCGCCCUUCCAUCCUCUAUCAUUAUUUUCAUCAUUAGUUGUGUCAUUCUCAUUGUUAUUGGGAUUCGGUCUUUGAUACUUCACUUCACCGCCGAAAGUUAAUGGGUAAGGAUUUUGUUUAGUUAUCGUAUCAGUUAUUGUUUUUUCACUGGUGCUGCAAAGUCCCAUUAGCCAGACUCAUUAUUUCACUCCAUAGAAAACCCGGGUGACUUGAAGCCUUUUUAGCGAGGACUCAUCUAGACUUGGAACUGAAUGGGUUGAUGUCAUAAUUGUGUUUGUAUGUUGAGGUCAUGGAAUACUUAUGCCCAAUCUUUAAAACAUCGUAUGAGUGGGUGCUUUGUCUUUUUGUCUUUUUUUUGGGACAGAGUUAGUAAGAAGUGUUGGAGUUUCACAGGGUUGAGUUGAUCCAUUACAAACUCAGACGUAAAAAGUGAAAUUGAAAAAUCAUCAAAACAAAUGAACCACACCUUGAACAGUGGGUCAAAACACUGUGGCAGAUUUGUCUGUUUUGGCCUGUAUUUCAGUUGUGGGUAGUUGGUGUAGUUGUUUUUUUGUAUUACUUUUUAUAACUGUUUUAAUAAGUUGACUUAAUAAAAAUCCAACACUUUUAAGCAACCAUUCAAAAAGUGGAGUUAAAGAGCCAAACAGACGCAUAACUUGAUAAAUACUAAUAUGAUUAAAAUUUAAGGGAGUAGGAAUAAAGGAGAGGAAAUGGAGGAAGGAGGAGUGUGAGAGUAGUCAUAGAUGAGGUUGAAGGGAGGAAUGAGGAAGAAAAACAGGAGGAAAAUGCACCCAGUUAUGUCAAUUUUUCAAGAUCCUCAAACCCCAGCUGAUUUGAAUGACUGCUCCCCACCCGCCCCCUUCAUGUGGCUACAAAGGUUCACAUUUAGUAGAAAAAUACCCCCCUUUAACAACUCUGGGUACGUCCCUGUGAGAGUGUUAUAGUCAGUGAGGGAGAGGAAGGAGGAAUGAAGGAGAGGGAGGAGGAAGGGGAAAAAAUAGAAGGAAGAAAGGAGAAUAAGACUUGUACAGUGCAAUUAUUAUGUUCCUUUUUGCUUCCUGCUUCACAACUGUACUGGAAUGUGGCUUCUCUCAUUUCCCUUUAGUUCUGAAUGUCUCACAAUAACCAAUGAUGAUGAUAAUGGUGUUUGAUCUCUUAUGUUUCCAUGGACGACACAGGUGAGAACAAAUGUUUGGGGUGUAAUACUUUGAGCUCUGUUAUUGUUUUGUUAUGUAGUGUAGGAGUAAGAGAAUGGGGAAGACAGGGAAAGGAAGGAAAAAGACUGAGGAAAAAGAAGAAAGGAAGGAAUGAAGGAGAUGAAGAAUGGAGAGGCAGGAAGGGAGAAGAUAGCUAGAGACAUUUAGAGAGAAGAAUAUACAAAUUUAAUCCUUACUAAAUUGUUUUCUCAUUAUUACACUAGACAUUGUUAUUACAGUAGAAUGCUUAAUUGAGUUUCUUGAAGUAUGUCAUUGUUUUGUUAGUGUGAGAAUGAUAGCGAGGAACACCAGAAAAGUUCAAAAUAAACAGAUUAAUAGAUGCUAACUUCAUCCUUAUUAAAUGUUGUUACUUCACUAGAUUAUAUAAACGUCCCAGUGUCUAGGAAUGUUACGAGGAUCUAGGAGUGUUGUAGAGGUGUUGGUAAGGGUGUUCAGGAGUUUAUGAGGAGAGAAGGUCAGUAGGAUUUUAUAGCAAGCAAGACAUUACCUACACUAGAUUAUAUGAACGUCUCAGUGUCUAGGAAUGUUACGAGGAUCUAGGAGUGUUGUAGAGGUGUUGGUAAGGGUGUUCAGGAGUUUAUGAGGAGAGGAGGUCAUUAGGGUUUUAGAGCAAACAAAACAUUACCUAAGAAAGACAGGUAGGCUUUGAUUAAGAAUGUUUUUUAUUGAUAGAAUGCAGGAAUAUAAGUGAUUGAGGUGUUGUUAAAAGUGUUCAGGGGUUUAUGAGGAGAGGUCAGUAGGGUUUUAAUAGCAAACAAGACAUACCUAAGAACGACACGUAGGCUUUGAUUAAGGAUGUUUUUAUGGUAGAAUGCAGGAAUAUAAGUGAUUUUGUAUUUAUUUAUUUAUUUAUGGAAGUAUGAUUUUAUGAGAGGAUAGACAUUCACGUUUAAAUCUUGUGUCUCCAAUUAUUAUUUCUGCGAUGUGAUGUUUUAUUUCUAAUUUGUGGGAUUAUAAUAAGUUAGUAAGAGUGUUCAGGAGUUUAUGAGGAGAGGAGGUCAGUCAGAAUGCAAGAAGAUUAGUGAUUUUGUAUUUAUUUUAUUUGUGGAAGACUCUAACUUUGUGCAGGAUAGAUAUUCAUGUUUAAAUUUUGUGUUUCCAUUUUUUUUUUCUGUGAUGUGGUUUUAUUUCUCUGAUUUGUGGGAUUCUAAUAAGUUUAAUUUUUGUGGGUAAUCUAUCAUUUUUAUUUCAUCAACUUCCCAGAUCAAAUGACCAUCUAAAUCACAUCCAUAUUCUUAAACAUUUCAAGGCUCACACACACACACUUAUAAGGCCUUCAUAGAGGUUGUUGUGGGUGUUUCCAUGGGUAGUUUUAUGAGCCUAGUGAUAGUUUGACAAGGCUUUUGCACCGUGAAUGUGAAAAUCGCACCCAUGAGAACCUGCCUAACCUUCCUUAACCCGUUAGCAGUGACGGGCCAAAUUUGAGGCUUUACCGUGUAGCAGCGACAGGCCAAAUUUGAGGCUUUACCGUGUAGCAGUGAUGGGCCAAAUUUGAGGCUUUACCGUGUAGCAGCGACAGGCCAAAUUUGUGCCAUGAUAUAAACCCCCAAAAUAGAUGAUGCAUAAACUGAUCAUAAAUGCGUUGAUAUAUAUGAUGAAAUGGCUUGUGUGAGUGAUGAUUUUUUUUCAUUUUUCUCACCUAGAGGGACCAUUAAGAAACAUGAUCCCCAGAGCUACCGGGUUAAGACCUUUGGAAAUAGUUGUGGAAGCUGAAAGUGUCUUGAGAAUAUGUGAAUUAUUUUACUCUCCUGGUGUCCCUAUGAUUCUCUCUCUCACUCCUGCACUAUAUAACAAAACCAUAACAAACCUCAAAGAACUCCUAGGUAUACAUAUUCAGGUGUAACAGGAAUAUUUAAAAAGAACAAAGCUAGCAUUAUUUUACACUCCUACUAUUCCUGUGUCUCUCUCUCUCUUUUGUUAGUUUACUCUCCUUUCUUAUUAGUUCAUAUCCAGCUUAUUCCUGUCACAUCUGAACCUCUACAUUUUUUUUUUUACGUCAAAGGAUGCGGCUCAAGGGCAACAAAAAGAGUACACACACACAAAAAAAAAAAGCCCGCUACUCGCCGCUCCCACAAAAGUAGAGAGUAGCCAAAAGAGAGGUCAAUUUCGGGUGGAAGUGUGUCAUUCUCCUGCCAUUCUGUCCCUUAUUUUGGCACUUACCACAGUCAUGAAUCUGCCGUCCAUAUUCCUAGACAUUUCCGACUCUCACAACUCUUUCCAAAGGCCAUGAAGGAGGUUAGUCAGGUUCUUACGAGUGUUGUUUCAUAUUCACAGUGCAGAAGCCUCAUCAAACUAUCACUAGGCUCAUAAGACUACCCAUGGACAUACCCAGAAUGGUCUAUAUGAAAGCCUUGUCAUGUGGGUGUGUCCUGAAGUGGUUGAUGAUAUGGACUUAACCUUACCAUACGUCAACCUCAGCACACCUUAUGUUUGAUCCUCAUGUCUCCUUCUCGUCAUUUCACACUGUUCCUCACACUUAACCUUACCAUACGUCAACCUCAGCACACCUUAUGUUUGAUCCUCAUGUCUCUUUCUCGUCAUUUCACACUGUUCCUCACACCCUCCUUCACCCUAUUAAACACAUACCUUACCUGUCUCCUCCUCCUCCUCCUCCUCUCCUUACUCUCAGAAACAUAAAAUAGCACCCCACUUCAAUAUUCCUUUUCCUUGUUAAUCAUGGUUUCUUUACUUUCUUAACCCAGUAGCAGCGGGGAUCAUGUUUCUUAAAGGCCCUUCCCUCUAAGCGAGAAAAUUGAGAAAAUAUCAUCACUCACACAAACCAUUUCAUAAUACUAUAUAUCAAUGCAUUUGUGAUCAGUUUAUGCAUCAUCUAUUUUUUGGGGGUUUAUAUCAUGGGAAAAAUUUGGCCCGUCGCUGCUACCAGGUUAAACACAUACCUUACCUCUCUCCUCUCCUCCUCCUCCUCUUACUCUCAGAAACACAAAACAGCAUCCUCAGAAACAAAAACAAACAACAAAACAACAAAAACAAACAAAA